rnacentral:rRNA from 1 species
GACGAACGCUGGCGGCGUGCUUAACACAUGCAAGUCGAACGGAAAGGCCCUGCUUUUGUGGGGUGCUCGAGUGGCGAACGGGUGAGUAACACGUGAGUAACCUGCCCUUGACUUUGGGAUAACUUCAGGAAACUGGGGCUAAUACCUGAUAUGAGCUCCUGCUGCAUGGUGGGGGUUGGAAAGUUUCGGCGGUUGGGGAUGGACUCGCGGCUUAUCAGCUUGUUGGUGGGGUAGUGGCUUACCAAGGCUUUGACGGGUAGCCGGCCUGAGAGGGUGACCGGCCACAUUGGGACUGAGAUACGGACCAGACUGCUACGGGAGGCAGCAGUGGGGAAUAUUGCACAAUGGGAGGAAGCCUGAUGAAGAAACGCCGCGUGCGGGAUGACGGACUUCGGGUUGUAAAACGCUUUAGCCUGUGACGAAGCGUGAGUGACGGUAAUGGGUAAAGAAGCACCGGCUAACUACGUG